CUUUAUGGAACUAGAACCCAGAACCCCGAAUGUAUCGACAGGCAAAGCGAAGACAACCGAGGGUUGUAACAGCUUUUACGGGCACGUUAUUGUCUAUAAUUGGGACUGUGUAUCUUUACUCUAUCAGCCUAUAUGUGGCAUCUCUACUACCUUAUUCCUCCGUGGAUGAGUUCAAGAGAGAAUGAUGAUAGAUUUUGUGGAAAGAAACAAACCUCGGGAUGGUGAGGAUGGGAAAAGUAAUGAAGAUGAGAAGCCUAAGCAAGCCAAAGGGUGUGGUAAAGGACAUACCGGAACCACAAACUUCUCCAAACUUGUACUAAAAUACUGUAAAAUGACUUUACAUUGUUGCAUUGUUAAUCAUUAGUGCAUAACCUCUAGAGGUUGGCUCAAUUGGUAAGGGCUGUGGUCUUGGUGGUAUGGUCUGUCCAGGUCUAACAUACGAAGUCUUGGGUGCAAACAAUUUCUAAGGAUCACGUCAUGUGAUGAGGACGCGUUACAUGGAUCUGGGGUUUAACGGAGUUAAAGGCAUGUUGUGUUUGCACGAUCUCCAAGAUUCCUCAUCAUAAAAAAUCAUUAGUGCAUCAUUUGAGUUGUCAGUAUUGAGCUCAUGUAAAACUUUUGUAUGGGCAGGAAGGGGUAGUAUUUGUGUUGUCAGGGUUUGUUAAUCCCGAGCGCAGCAUUUUGUGAUCACACGCACUAGAAAUGGGAGCAGAAUAUCAGGCUGACUGGAACUUGGAUUGCACUCUCUUGGUUUGCGCAUUUCCCAACACCCCAAAGUUUCAACAAGUAGAGUCGGACUGUGGGACCAUUGCUUCAAAGGUGACAAGCUUCUAAUACUGGCAAAGAGUGCUUGUCUCCUUCUAAAGUGAAAAGAUGGGCUGCUGAUGACUUGAGUAUAACCAUCACAUGGCUAGAGAGUCAAGAUGAAGAGUGACUUGCAACAAUUUGCUCGUUAUAAGGCAGGCAAGCUCUGCUGAAUGCGUCAUGUUCUUCCUGAACUUGUAAUAUUGUUGUCUGAUUAUUAGGAUGUCCAGUACAUAACUGAGCAGUGAAACUUCAUCCCUCGUGUGGUUGAGGAGCUGGCACAGCUUGAAGUCGAUGGAAAUGAUUUAGCUUCAGUCUCAAAGGAGGAGCUUUGCAGACAGGGCAAGGCUUGCAAACAAAUAUAUGAUGAAAAACUUAGCACUUUAGAUGAUGAUCCGUCGACCAAGAAGAAAAAGCCAAAGACUGGUGAAAGGAAUGAGAGAACCAAAAGGCAGCACCAAGGAAGCAAGAGAGUAUGACAGCCAUGAAACCGUUGAGAUGACGGGAGGCAAUAGAGCUUCCUAUGAAACUAUUGCGUCUAAGAUCUGUAAAUGAUGACUUUAUUCCAGUUUCUUGACAAGAAGGUGGUAUUUUUGUGAGCUCAUUGUGGAUUAAUAUUCAUAUCACACCUAUAAAAUUAUCUACCCACAUCUUCAGUCCUACCCCAUGACUUUUGCUAGGUGGGACUGACAUU